AACGAACGCUGGCGGCAGGCCUAAAACAUGCAUGUCGAACGCCCCGCAAGGGGAGUGGCGCACGGGUGAGUAACGCGUGGGAACGUGCCCUUCACUACGGGACAACGUCGGGAAACUGACGCUAAUACCGUAUAAUGACUCCGGUCCAAAGAUUUAUCGGUGAAGGAGCGGCCCGCGUCUGAUUAGCUAGUUGGUGAGGUAAAGGCUUACCAAGGCUACGAUCAGUAGCAGGUCUGAGAGGAUGAUCUGCCACACUGGGACUGAGACACGGCCCAGACUCCUACGGGAGGCAGCAGUUAGGAAUAUUGGACAAUGGGCGAAAGCCUGAUCCAGCCAUGCCGCGUGUGUGAUGAAGGCCCUAGGGUUGUAAAGCACUUUCGUUGGGGAUGAUAAUGACCGUACCCAAAGAAGCAGCACCGGCUAACUUCGUGCCAGCCGCCGCGGUAA
rnacentral:rRNA from 1 species